rnacentral:rRNA from 1 species
GACGAACGCUGGCGGCGUGCUUAACACAUGCAAGUCGAACGGAAAGGCCCUGCUUUUGUGGGGUGCUCGAGUGGCGAACGGGUGAGUAACACGUGAGUAACCUGCCCUUGACUUUGGGAUAACUUCAGGAAACUGGGGCUAAUACCGGAUAGGAGCUCCUGCUGCAUGGUGGGGGUUGGAAAGUUUCGGCGGUUGGGGAUGGACUCGCGGCUUAUCAGCUUGUUGGUGGUGUAGUGGCUUACCAAGGCUUUGACGGGUAGCCGGCCUGAGAGGGUGACCGGCCACAUUGGGACUGAGAUACGGCCCAGACUCCUACGGGAGGCAGCAGUGGGGAAUAUUGCACAAUGGGCGGAAGCCUGAUGCAGCAACGCCGCGUGCGGGAUGACGGCCUUCGGGUUGUAAACCGCUUUCGCCUGUGACGAAGCGUGAGUGACGGUAAUGAGUAAAGAAGCACCGGCUAACUACGUG